rnacentral:rRNA from 1 species
CGCCCAACAGCUAGCCCCCCCCCAACCAAAAACAAUUUAUCACCAUUAAUAACCCCUAACACACUAGUGUUAAACUAAACAAAACAUUUUUCCACCUCAGUACGGGCGACGGAAGAG